GGAGAGAUGUCUGAGAGGUUUAAGGUGUAUGUCUCGAAAACAUAUGUAGGGUGAUACCCUACCGUGGGUUCGAAUCCCACUCUCUCCGCCA
rnacentral:tRNA from 1 species